CUUAAUCCUCUUUUGUCAUAUAACAGAAUCAUCUUAUGUUGGUAUUAAAUUGUAUGUUUCUUUUUCUUUCUUUCUUUCUUUCUUUCUUUCUUUCUCUUUCUUUUUUUUUUUUUUUUUUUUUUUUUUGAGUUGGCGUCUCGCUCUGUCACCAGGCUGGAGUGCAGUGGCACAAUCUCGGCUCGCUGCAACCUCUGCCUCCUGGGUCCAAGUGAUUCUCCUGGCUCAGCCUCCUGAGUAGCUGGGACUACAGGUGCCUGCCACCAUGCCCAGCUAAUUUUUGUAUUUUUAGUAGAGAUGGGAUUUCAUCAUGUUGGCCAGGAUGGCCUCUAUCUCUUGACCUUGUGAUCCACCCCUCUCAGCUUCCCAAAGUGUUGGGAUUACAGGCGUGAGCCACCGUGCCUGGCCCAAAUUGUGUGUUUCUUAACGUAAACAUUGGGAGGGAGUUUGUCCUAAUGGAAAGAGGACCAAUAUCAGAGUUGGGGUAUCUGUGCUCUACUUUUGAUCUUUUUCAAGACAUAUUAUUUUAUAUAUAUUCUGUAUCUUUUUGGAUUGUGUACUAUCUUCCUAUAGCAAUGGUCCUCAACUGUGGUGAUUUUGUCUCCUAGAGGACAAUUAGCAAUGUUUGCAGAGAUUUUUUAUUAUUACAACUGGGGGAGAAGGAAGGUGCUACUGGUAUCUUGUUUGUAGAGGCCAAGGAUGUUGUUCAACACACUAAGAUGCAUGGAUACCCUCCCAACCCCAAAGAAUUAUCUGACUCCAAAUGCCAGUAGUGAGGUUGAGAAACACUGCCCAAUUAUGGUGUGGAAAAUUGAUGUUAGAGUUGCAAGCGAAAAAGCCAGAAGAUGAGUUAGGAGAAAAUGGCCACGGUCUAGGGGAGAGAUGAUGGUGCUUUAGACUAACAUAGAGGCAAUGGAAAUAGAAAAGUAGUGAGAUCUUACAUCAAUUUUGGAGAUAAAAGUGAUCUGAUAUUGAGAGGAAUUAUGUGUGGGAAGUGAGGAUGGUGUCAAGGAUGACUGCCGAGUUGCUAUAAUGACCUUCUACGUAAAUGGAGAUAGAGUUACUGAAAUGGAGACUUCCAGAGGAAUAAUAGAUAAUACUUAAAAUGGAUCUUAUUUUAUGUAAAUUCUGGUCUAAGUAUACUAACCCAUUUAAUCCUUAUAACAACCCAGCAAGAUAAGUGCUAUUAACAUCCCCUUUUUAUAAAUGAGAAUAAAGAGGCACAGACAGGUCAAGUAACUUGCUCAGGAUCACCAGCCAGUAGUAAGUGGGUUUUGAAUGCAUAAAGUCAAAUUCCAGAGUCUAUAUUCUUAACCACUACAUGAAUCCACCUUUUGGAAGAACAGAUCUAGAGAGAAAGAUCACAUCUCUUUCCAUGACUUCAUAUCCUUCAAUCCUAAGAUCAGAGUGCAUGGUCAAUCACUUUAAUAUUUUCCUGUGUAUUUUAACAUUUUCCUUGUGAAUAUUCCCAUUGUAUUCACAAGGAAACCCUCCCUCCCCCCAACUUGAACCAGUAAUUUUCCUGCUCUCAUACCAAGGUGCUGAACAUUGCUGGAGAAGUCCACAGAGCUUUGGCCACUGUUAUAAUUAUGAAGUCAUGAGCACACCUGUCCAUGGAACUCUCCAUAGCAGAUCAUUCUUCUAUUUCUCAAGAGCAUGUUCUGUCACACUUUCCACACUGCCUUCCCCAAAUUCACUCUGCUCAAGUCCCCCACUCCAUCCUCGUGCCUCCACACAGUCUGUAGAUAAUGCUGUACUUUAUUUCAUCACGAAAAUACAAGCACUGAGUUGAUACUGCUUCAUCCUCUGAACACUCCCUACCUAUAAACCAAUCUAUAUUCCCAUCCAUAGCUUCUUUCAUUCCCAAAUUAGUGAAAAAGGUAUCUUUCUUCCCAAGUAAGGUAAAUCCGUCCCUCAUCUUGUGCUCAGGAUUCCUUCUCAUUCGGCCUCCCCAUGGAUCAUUCUAACACUGUCUCAACUCUUCAAUUUCUCUGACUUGUUCUACACCUGCCCAGCACUUAAAGUAUCUGGCCAAAUGAAUACAUGCAGGAGAUGAAAUAUGGAGAAAGAACAAAAGGACUAAUUCCACUUGUGAGAGAUGAAGGAACAGGAGCA
rnacentral:lncRNA from 1 species